rnacentral:rRNA from 1 species
UACAGAGGUCUCAAGCGUUGUUCGGAUUCAUUGGGCGUAAAGGGUGCGUAGGUGGCGCCGUAAGUCAGGUGUGAAAUUUCGGAGCUUAACUCCGAAACUGCAUUUGAUACUGCGGUGCUUGAGGACUUGGAGAGGAGACGUGGAAUUACGGUGUAGCAGUGAAAUGCGUAGAGAUCGUAAGGAAGACCAGUGGCGAAGGCGGGAUCGUCGUUGGACAAGCA